UACGGAGGGUGCGAGCGUUGUCCGGAAUCACUGGGCGUAAAGGGCGCGUAGGUGGCACGGGUAGUCGUCGGUGAAAGCUCAGGGCUCAACCCUGAGUCGGCCGGUGAUACUCCCGAGCUCGAGUGUGGUAGAGGCCAAUGGAAUUCCGGGUGUAGCGGUGGAAUGCGUAGAGAUCCGGAAGAACACCGGUGGCGAAGGCGGUUGGCUGGGCCACAACUGACACUGAUGCGCGACAGCGUGGGGAGCGAACGGG
rnacentral:rRNA from 1 species